CACCAAUGCACAUUGAAAAAAAAAAAAAAAAAAAACAAAGCCCCCAAACUCAAGGCCACAACUGCUCCUUUUUUUGACUUUUCAAAAAUUAUUUACUUAUGUCUAUGAGUCCUCUGUCAUUUACAUAUAGUCCUGCAUGCCAGGAGAGGGAAUCAAAUCAAAUAGAUGUUGUGAGCCACCAUGUGGGUGCUGGGAAUUGAACUCAGGACCUCUGGAAGAACAGCCAGCACUUUUAACCACUGAGUCAUCUCUCUAGGCCCUUUUCUGACUUUAACAUUAGCAUUUCCUGACCAAGAGAAUGCAGAAAAACAUUGUGGAGUUCAGAAGCUACAAGUCUAACCCACUGUGGGUCUAUGCUCCAGUUAUCUGUGAGUGGCUGGAUUGGUACAAAAACAAACAAACAAACAAACAAACCAACCUGUCAUACAUUAGAAUAAUUUGGAGGAUCUCUCUGAAUUUGAGGAAUAUAUAUAUAUAUAAUUUUUCCCCCUACAAAGUUGCAGCCUUUGAUUUUAGACACUGGAUUUGAAUUCUGGCUCUCUGGCUUUAUCCCAGUCAGUCUUCCCCGUUAUUUUGUGUUCUUGGGUGAACCACAAAGACAAAACAGUCCACAGAAAUUCACACAGUGGAAAGUGGGCUUAGGACAGAAACUUCACCCAUACUGAAAGUCGGGAUUCUGUACACCAGGUUAAAGCUCCUCUUAGGCUCUCUUCAAGAGUCAAAGCUAAGUUUUAAGUUUUAAUUACUGAACCUAAGAGAUCCAUAAGACAAAAUGUCUGUAGCCUGGAACCCCCUGGCCCAAGGACACAUAUUUCCUGAAAUACUGGAGGUCAUGGUUUAAGGCAGAUUCCCACCCAAGCGUUUUCACCUCCCUAAACAAGUUUGACCCAACCGCACUUGAUCACUCUAGCUUGGAGGUACGAGUGGGCAGGAAGAAUACUUGCUCCUGAUUGGAUGUAGGUGGGAGGUACACUUACACUUGCCCCUCAUUGGAGCUGAGGGGAAAUAUAGAGGUCUUACAGUUUAACCUUUUUAAGCCUCUGCAAAAUGUGACUCCAGGCCAUUUCCCCGGGAAUCCUGGAAGGGUCUGGGCCAGGUCCAUUAUUUAACUAAAGCUUGCUUCAAAUUUGUCUUAAAAAUUGUGAAACUGGCCUUUCUCUCUCAACUCUCAGGCUUAACAACUCUUGCUUACAUUAUUAAUUUACAAAACUUCAGGACAGCCAGGCUCAGACAGGUCUGGAGAAACGUGGCUAGUACCCUGGCAGUACAGUUAACAAGGCUGCUGCCCUGGUGGCUGACGUCACUCAUAACACCCCUCCCUCCACCCUGGCGUGGGGAGGGGAAGCACCAGCAAGUAGAGAGAAGCAGCCCUAGCCAUGGAAAAGUGUCGUGAAAUGAUGUCUCAGGCUUAGCGAUCAGUCCCAACAGGAUUUGCCACUGCCCAAUGCCAGAUUCCCUGCUGAGCAAGCAGAGCUCUAUCUAAAAGAAUGGUAAUGGAAGGGCCGUGUCACCGGGUGGAGGCAAGGGCUUUGGCUUAGAAUACUGGUUCAAACUCACAGGGGUAGCUGGUUGUGCCACCACUCGGAGGGAGAACAAGAGAUGUUACCCAAUAUCUUGGAGUCUCAGUUUCUUCCUUGAGAGGAGGAUUGACCAAACAAACUACUUUCCAAUGGGUGUGUUCAAUGGAGAUGUUCUUGGGAACUGGAAGGAUGCCAUUUUCCUAAGACAGGAUUGCAUUUGGAUUCUUUUUUUUAAAGGAGAAAAUAUAAGAACAAACAAUGCAGACCUGGUGUCCAUACAGGUAAGCUGAGGGACUCUUCCUGUGCUCUCAGAUAUGGUGGCCCGUGUAUGACUACCCACACAGAGUCAGGACACCAGGACUGCACAUCCCUUUAAGGCAGCAGAAGACUUGUGUGACGGCCUGUAACUGAACCAGUGGGAAGAGGAGGAAUUUUGAGAGAUGACAGAUACCAUGCAUUGAGGACGUAGAACCUGAAGCCUUCAGGACGGGCUGCGAUUGGUGAGUUCUCUAGUUUUUAAUCUGUUUUUGAGAAGGAGAGAGAUGAUAAGAUUGCAUCUCUGCGGCUGAAGGGGAACUAGAACCUGUGGUUAUUCUCAGUUCCCAGUCUUUAAAGUUGGGUGGGGAAUGAGCGCGCACACUGGCUCAUGAACAAAGCUCUGUGAAGAAAUCCCACAGACGAUGGAUGGGCUUCUCAGCAGUCUACGCUCCCUGCGGGUUGAGACUGGACAGCCGAUAUGCACUGUCGCUGACGUUGGGCACUGAAACCGGGACCCGCUCUGGGUGGUGAUGGGUGCUGGGAGGCAGCCGUUUGUGGUUCUUCGCCCGGGCACAGAAGUGUACUACUUCCUAAUCUCUGCCUUCGAAAGGCUUUGUGGGCUUCAAACUCUCCGGGUUUGAAGCAGAUAUGUUGUAUUUAAAACCCGGAAGACUGACAUAAAGGGUUUUCUCUGAAGAUUACAGGAAUGAGCUGACUUCCUGGUUCAGGGACCGCCCAGCUGGUAAAGGAAAUGCAGAUUCUGGCCAUGUGCUGAUGGCCACCAGGAAGACUGCUGUUCAGAGCGUGUAACAGACACUCAUUCAUGCUAGAAGAAAUCCCAGCUGCCCACUCUUUUGGGAAUGAGAGGUUCGAGCCACAAACUGCACAAUGGAAGCAUGACUUGGGAGUCUUACUGAAUUCUCCUCCAGUGGCCAGGAAGAACAGCCUUUGCUAAUUACCUAGAGGAGUUCACAGGCCUCCGGAGACACGGACACAUACACCAUGAGAGGCAUGACACGCACGUAAGCACAUCCUGUGAUCAGCAUCACCACCUUUUGGCCCACAGCAGUGUUCAGACCUGUCGGCACCUGAAACCUUCCCUCCAAGUGUUACUGGCUUCCUGAGCCAACUGCAAGAUCAGACUGAUUUUGGCAAAAGCGAAGCGUUUGGGGGAGGUUCCCCAUUCUUUCAUCUGACCUGUAGAGCCACUUCUUGGCAGCAUCUACCCCCUUCCCACAGCAGGGCCUCCCGACCGUGGCUGUCCCCUGGCAGGGUGUGCGCUCCCUUCAGGUGGCUGUCACCCUUUCUGGGCUCAGGCACCUCCACCAGCUGCUCCAGCUGUGUUUGCCCUGUGUAUACUGGGAAGGUUUUAUGGGCCUAUUACACCCUAGGCCAUCCUUGACCCUGGAUCUAAGACUGUUCUUUCAUUCCAAAUGACAACAGUGCCUAGGUUUUCCCUGACAAGAAACAAACCGAACCCUGGUUCAAACAACACAAAACUAUCUUCCAAGUCGACAGCAGGUGGACCAAUGAGAAGACGGCUGUGACAGCUGGAAGGAGCACUCGCUGUUCUCAUGAGCUCUCAGGCUGCUCACCUGUGAACAGCUGGACACUCGAGGUAAGUUUCCCACGCGCCGACAGGCACUACAAUGUCUGCACUUAGCUCUGCAGAAUGAACCCAUGAAUAGACGCCCUUCUCCUAGGGAUUUAAACCAUGUUUUAUAUUUAAAUCUUGCAAUGUUGAACAGCAUCCUUGUCUUAUUUCUAUUGCUGCCCUGACCAAAAGCAACACUGAGGAGAAGAGGUCUAAUAAGACUCAGAACUCCAGUUUACAGUCCAUUGUGGGGGAAGCCAAGACAGGAACCUGAGGCAUCAUGGACCCAUAACAAAUUCAAGCAUCAGUUUUUAUCUACAAAAUGUGACAGUAAUACACACACACACACACACACACACACACACACACACACACAGAGAGAGAGAGAGAGAGAGAGAGAAACAAGUGUGCAUGGAGAUGCUGAGGUGAGAGUAAGUCAGAACUGGAGUUGGGGAGUAUCUCAGUGGUACCAGGUGAGCAUGCAGGGAGCCUCGGGCUCCACCCCCACUGCUGCAAACUAGAAUUAAAGAAAAUAGCUGGACAGCAAACAGUGAAAAGGAUUCUCAGUAAAUGCCCCCUGUUUUAAAUUUAGCUAUUGGAGUUAACCUUUAGAUACUGCAUUUAUCUAAAGGUUAUAUAAAAGCACAUUCUUUGGUUUAGAUAAAGCUCAGUAAAAUUCCGGGAUGUUAGUCUCAUUCUAUUAACCAAGACUCCAGUCUAGUACUGGGCCUGCUCAGGUUGGGGAACACAGAAAUCAGUCAUGGAUCUCUCUUAGGGAGUUACCACCUCAGGGGAAGCUAGUUCUACAACUGAAUCAGAGCCACGUGGGACAUACUCAUUGGGAAAGUGGUUCCUGACCUGCUGUGGCUGCAGCAGAGAAGGCGGCAGAAGCCUCCAGACCUGGAUGAGGAACAGAGCUGAAACCGACAAGAACUGCAGUGAAGCCCCUGCACCAUCUCCUGGCCUUUGAAGGCUCCAGAGCCCAGCCUUCCUACUGCGCAGUUAGUGGCUCUCCUGAAGAAUAGACAGAGUUGCCAAGAGUUACAGUCGCCCCACGCAAGGUCAGAAAAGGAGAAAAAAAAGAAUACUUAUCGGUGACAUUGGGAGUGUGAAGGUUUGCCAAUCCCGCAGAAGAUUCACUCCUUAGCAAUACAGCUGACAUUCUAAAAACAUCUUUCCAUUUUACACUGCAUUUUCUCCAGUGACACUUUUGAUUUUAUCAGUAGCACAGGAUGUUACGUACUAGAGACAAACUGCCCACCACCAAGCCACAGUA
rnacentral:sRNA from 1 species